GCGGUGGAUCAUGUUGUUUAAUUUCGAUGAUACGCGAAGAACCUUACCAGGUCUUGACAUCCCCCGCGAUGCUUUAGAGAUAAAGCGGAGGUAUUCGGGGAGACAGGUGGUGCAUGGUUGUCGUCAGCUCGUGUCGUGAGAUGUUGGGUUAAGUCCCGCAACGAGCGCAACCCCUAUUGCUAGUUACCAUCAUUAAGUUGGGGACUCUAGCGAGACUGCCAGUGAUAAACUGGAGGAAGGUGGGGAUGACGUCAAAUCAUCAUGCCCCUUAUGACCUGGGCUACAAACGUGAUACAAUGGCUGGAACAAAGGGAUGCGAAGCAGUGAUGUGGAGCGAAACCCAUAAAAACAGUCUCAGUUCGGAUUGAAGUCUGCAACUCGACUUCAUGAAGUCGGAAUCGCUAGUAAUCGCGGAUCAGAACGCCGCGGUGAAUACGUUCUCGGGGUUU
rnacentral:rRNA from 1 species